UGUUCCUACGGGGCGCAGCAGUGGGGAAUAUUGCACAAUGGGGGAAACCCUGAUGCAGCAACACCGCGUGAGUGAGGAAGUAUUUCGGUAUGUAAAGCUCUAUCAGCAGGGAAUAGAAAAGAAGGUACCUGAAAAAGAAGCCCCGGCUAACUACGUGCCAGCAGCCGCGGUAAUACGUAGGGGGCAAGCGUUAUCCGGAUUUACUGGGUGUAAAGGGAGCGCAGGCGGCACGGCAAGCCUGAUGUGAAAGCCCGCGGCCCCACCGCGGGCCUGCAUUGGGAACUACGCGGCUGGAGUGCCGGAGG
rnacentral:rRNA from 1 species